ensembl:lncRNA
GCUGAUAACCAGGUGUAACAGUGGUAAGGUGUUGGGACUCUGCUGAUAACCAGGUGUAACAGUGGUAAGGUGUUGGGACUCUGCUGAUAACCAGGUGUAACAGUGGUAAGGUGUUGGGACUCUGUUGAUAACCAGGUGUAACAGUGGUAAGGUGUUGGGACUCUGUUGAUAACCAGGUGUAACAGUGGUAAGGUGUUGGGACUCUGCUGAUAGCCAGGUGUAGCAGUGGUAAGGUGUUGGGACUCUGCUGAUAUCCAGGUGUAACAGUGGUAAGGUGUUGGGACUCUGCUGAUAACCAGGUGUAACAGUGGUAAGGUG